UAAAAAUCCGAAAUUUGUUAAUUGUCUGCUAACUUCAAGAUCAUAUUUCUUUGUGGAUCAAUUUUUGAAUAACCAAGUGAUCAACAUUUCAACAAUCAAUUGAACCCCAAAUUGAAUUAUGAAAAAAAAAAUGAUUAAUUAUUUAACUCGAAAUAAUGAAUAAUUAAUAAGUACCAAGUACUCCGUAAUAAACUUGAGUAUUGAGUAAAGCCACAAAGUUGUUCAGAAACUAUUAGCUAGAUCCUGCUAAUAAGAAGAGCAUCUCACAUCCCGCUAGUGAAACAGUUAUGAUGAAUCUCCUUCUCGGCACCACGAGCCAAAUGAAUAAAGUGAUCUGAUGAAAAUAUAAAAAAUUUUUUUUAUAUACAAACAAGAAAAAUAAAGUAUCAAUGAAUAAAAUACCAAUGGAAUAAUUGAGCGAACAAAAAAUAAUAACAACUGAAAAUUAUGUAAACCAAUGAAGCAGAUCAGUUGUGAGAGCGUCGGUCGAAAUUUUUUAUCCUUAAAUUAUGUUUAAGCAGUUUGUUUUUAUUUAAAAACAUAUUUAAUUUUAGUACACUCCAGUGUAUUAAAGAAAUAAGUCGUCCCGUUAAUUUGAAUCCGCAUACCGAGUGCAUUAACCAGUCCCAGCGAUAGCUUGUGAACAUCUGGUUAAUGUCCAGAUGAUUGUAAAUAUUUAAACUACUAGUUUACAAUAAACUAGUGAGUAAAGAAUAUAAUAUAUUGUAGCUUUCAUGUCUUUUAUAUUCAAUCCGUAAUCAAACAUUUAUCGAAUAUUGUAAAAAUUAAAUUUAAAUAUCAAUUUAAAAAAAAAUUCUUUUAAUUAAAAUAAUAACUUUUUUAUUUUUGGAAAAUUCAAUUAUUGGGAUUUAAAAAAAAAUCAUCAAUAAAUUCUACACUGUAAAAAGAGCGGUGUUAAAAAUGGACUCAAUUUAUCACCGCGCGGUGUUAAAAUGAAAUUACACCGGUGUAGGCGAUGUUAUUUGGCAGUGUUAAAAUACCGGUGUCAAAUCGGUGUAAAAAAAAAAUUCCGCGUAUAGAAAUUAGAAAAAAAAAUGUAUUACAUAUAAAAAAAUAUAAAUUUUAAUUAAUAUUAUCUGAAGGUAUUAUAAUUAAUUAAUUAAAAUACUGUUUAACUCUCGUGAUCGGGUAAGUAAAAAUACUCACAAAGUAAAAUAUUUUCAACACCGAAAAAUAUUUUAACACCGGUAAAGAAUAUUUACACCUUCAGCGGUGUUAUUUUAACACCGCUUUCAGUGUUGAAAUUUAGCACCGAAAAUUUUAACACAUCGCCUGGACUUAGCCCAGUUUUUUUACAGUUUAGAAACAUUUAUUCAUAAUAAAUUAUGGAAAAAUUUUUUUUUUAAAUUAGUGAUAACUAUUUUUCUUGGACCCAUCAGUUUACAUAUCUCGUGAAAAUUUAAUAAUUAAAUUGAAAUAAACAAUAAAUUUUGAAAUGGCAAAUUUCCAAUACCAUCUACGCGUGGAGUAUUACAUUGUUUACACUUGCCAAGAGAAAAGAAAGUAAAGCAAGUAAAGAAGAUGGAGAGAGUCAUCGGGAAGAAUCUCGAAUUUUUUACAGGAUUCGAAGAAAAUUUUUUAUUCAUCACUUAUUACAUUUUUCCGUCAGUUCUUUCGGCUAAUUAAUUUCCGUAAAAGAGUACAAGUUAUUAUUAUAUAGGCCACUAAUUCGGUGACAUGGAAUUAUUUUUUUGUUUUGGAUAAUCGUUUUAAAAAAAAUACAACGGAUACACUGAAUAACGAUGUGUCACGAACAGUAAUUUGUCUUAGUAUCAUUAAGAUUUGAUAUUUAAUCUAGUGGGAGUUAACGGUUGCAUUCAUACAUAUAUAUAAUAAUAUCAUUAUUAAAUAUAUACAAUAGAGAUAGUAAUUUUCAACACCUAAAUCAUUCAAUCUUUUCUUUAUUAUUUACCGUACGAUGUAAAUUAUAAAUAUAAAUAU